GUUCGAGGAGAUCCUCUACUAAUACAAGACCUUCAAAGACUUUAUUUGUUAUUAACUUUGAUCCAUAUCAUACUAGGACAAGGGAUUUGGAGAGGCACUUCGAUCCCUAUGGUAAGAUAUUGAAUGUAAGGAUUCGAAGGAAUUUUGCAUUUGUCCAGUAUGAACUGCAGGAGGAUGCCACUAGAGCAUUAGAGCUUACAAACAUGAGCAAAUUGAUGGAUCGAGUGAUUUCAGUAGAAUAUGCUGUUCGAGAUGAUGAUGAUAAGAGAAAUGGAUAUAGUCCUGAUAGGAAUCGUGAUAGGUCUCCUGAUAGAAGACGGCGAUCCCCAAGUCCCUAUAGAAGAGAGCGAGGAAGCCCUGAUUAUGGCAAUGGUAUUAGCCGCAGUCCAUAUAGGAGACAAAGGGCUAGUCCUGAUUAUGGAAGUCGUCGUAGUCCAAGUCCUUAUCAGAGAGAGAGGGAGAGGGGUUCACCUGAUUAUGGCCGUGGUCGUAGUCCCAAGCAUAGUCCUUAUAGGAGGGAGAGAGAAAGAUCAAGUGACCAUGCUAGGGCUCCUAGCCACAGUCCUCCCCAUCAGAGGGAAAGACCAAAUGAUGACCGAAUCCCCAACCGAAGUCGUAGUCCUCAUGGGAGAGAGAGGGAGAGGAGGAGUCCUACCGAUGGACGUGGCACUAGCUAUAGUCCUCGUGAUAGAGAGAGGUCAGACAAUGGUCAUGAUCAGCGGCAGAAUACAGUAGCCGAACCCGGUGAGAGCCCCAGUUAUGGUGGCACUCAGAGCCCAAAGCAUCAGGGAUAUAACAGCAGUCGUUCACCUCAAGCAGAGGAAUGAUGAUCUAGAAAGUGGGAAGUGACGUUGAUCUCAAUCUGCUUCAGAGCAUGUUUAGUUGUAUAAUAAGUAUUAGUGGUAAACACAUGUAUUGUAAGGAUAAAGUUUUGUGAUUUCUUUACAUUUGUGCUUCAGUUUCUAGCGAUUUAUAUGGAUAUGCUGUUGCCAGAUUUUAGCUAAAAUCAAA
rnacentral:misc_RNA from 1 species